rnacentral:rRNA from 1 species
AUUGAACGCUGGCGGCAGGCCUAACACAUGCAAGUCGAACGGUAACAGGAAGAAGCUUGCUUCUUUGCUGACGAGUGGCGGACGGGUGAGUAAUGUCUGGGAAACUGCCUGAUGGAGGGGGAUAACUACUGGAAACGGUAGCUAAUACCGCAUAACGUCGCAAGACCAAAGAGGGGGACCUUCGGGCCUCUUGCCAUCGGAUGUGCCCAGAUGGGAUUAGCUAGUAGGUGGGGUAACGGCUCACCUAGGCGACGAUCCCUAGCUGGUCUGAGAGGAUGACCAGCCACACUGGAACUGAGACACGGUCCAGACUCCUACGGGAGCAGCAGUGGGGAAUAUUGCACAAUGGGCGCAAGCCUGAUGCAGCCAUGCCGCGUGUAUGAAGAAGGCCUUGGGUGUAAAGUACUUUCAGCGGGGAGGAAGGGAGUAAAGUU